CAGUAGCCGCGGGAAUACGUAGGUGGCAAGCGUUGUCCGGAAUUAUUGGGCGUAAAGGGCUCGCAGGCGGUUUCUUAGGUCUGAUGUGAAAGCCCCCGGCUCAACCGGGGAGGGUCAUUGGAAACUGGGAAACUUGAGUGCAGAAGAGGAGAGUGGAAUUCCACGUGUAGCGGUGAAAUGCGUAGAGAUGUGGAGGAACACCAGUGGCGAAGGCGACUCUCUGGUCUGUAACUGACGCUGAGGAGCGAAAGCGUGGGGAGCGAACAGGAUUAGAUACCCCAGUAGUCCCUGUCUCUUAUAC
rnacentral:rRNA from 1 species